rnacentral:lncRNA from 1 species
UUUCUAGUAAAUUUUAACUUGAUAAACAAGGGAUGUCUUGCAACACAAGUACUACAUGAAAGUCAUCCUGUGUAAUAACCCUCCUCGCUCAUCUCCCUCACACCAGCCACAAAGGUUUGCAAAAGUCCUCAGGACUCAGUGGAAGAUAAAGAAAUUGAACAUGUGUCCCAUUUCUGACCAGUAUAGACACAGAUUGGGACCGAACUCUCCCCUGGACAAGCCUUCUUAGUUGCUGUGAGUGUAAGGAGGAGUGUUCAUACCCGAAGUGUACCACUCACCCUUCUCCUCAAGGCUUCCCACCAAGGAGGCCAUAGGCACAAGGAGCAAUCAUAGAACAGUAAGAAAAACACUAAUAAAAUUUGACUUGAGAAUUCAACAUAAGUUUGGUAACCUCAUCCUCCCGUCUUUCUAUCCCUUUUGCGGGGAUCUCUGGUUUAAAAAGUGGAUUGGAAAAUGUAGUUUAGGACUACCCCGGCCCCCCGACUCUGAGAGGCUAAAGUCUUCAAAAGAAAUUUAUCCUGACCUAAUAGUCUAGCGGCAAGCAAUAUGGAGUAUAUAGUCACAGAUGUUCAUCAUUUUUCACUGUAAUGGUUUUGCUCACUGGUGAUACGUGGCCCAGUGAUUGAUCUCAGGCCAGUUAGAUUAGUAACUCUUAUGUAGAAAAACUAAAGAAAGGACCUACUAGUACAAUUCACCUAAAAUUACACUUGAUAGUAUUUACUCUCCACCAUGG